rnacentral:rRNA from 1 species
AGUGAACGCUGGCGGUAGGCCUAACACAUGCAAGUCGAACGGCAGCACAGUAAGAGCUUGCUCUUACGGGUGGCGAGUGGCGGACGGGUGAGGAAUGCAUCGGAAUCUACUUUUUCGUGGGGGAUAACGUGGGGAAACUUACGCUAAUACCGCAUACGACCUACGGGUGAAAGCAGGGGAUCUUCGGACCUUGCGCGAUUGAAUGAGCCGAUGUCGGAUUAGCUAGUUGGCGGGGUAAAGGCCCACCAAGGCGACGAUCCGUAGCUGGUCUGAGAGGAUGAUCAGCCACACUGGAACUGAGACACGGUCCAGACUCCUACGGGAGGCAGCAGUGGGGAAUAUUGGACAAUGGGCGCAAGCCUGAUCCAGCCAUACCGCGUGGGUGAAGAAGGCCUUCGGGUUGUAAAGCCCUUUUGUUGGGAAAGAAAAGCAGCAGGUUAAUACCCCGCUGUUCUGACGGUACCCAAAGAAUAAGCACCGGCUAACUUCGUG